rnacentral:rRNA from 1 species
ACGUAGGGUGCGAGCGUUAAUCGGAAUUACUGGGCGUAAAGCGUACGCAGGCGGCUGGGUAAGACAGGUGUGAAAUCCCCGGGCUUAACCUGGGAACUGCGUUUGUGACUGUAGGGCUUGAGUGCGGCAGAGGGGGGUGGAAUUCCACGUGUAGCAGUGAAAUGCGUAGAGAUGUGGAGGAACACCGAUGGCGAAGGCAGCCCCCUGGGAUGACACUGACGCUCAGGCACGAAAGCGUGGGGAGCAAACAG